rnacentral:lncRNA from 1 species
GCAAAAAUCCUGGUAUGCUGUAGGAUCUCAAAAAUAUGUUUGAAUAAAUUAAGAACAAAAUGAAUAAAUAUUUGCAGGGACUGUAUGGAUAAAUAGUAAAGCUCCAAUAUUGUUGAUCACAGAUAGUAAACAUGUAAAACAGGCUCAUGCUUGCCCGUUGCUUGUAUAACAUAUUAAUAAUCUUUACAAAUUAUGGUAAGCAAUUGUUGGCAAUACUUUCCAAUUAUUGCUUUGAAACCAUUUGGUGUCAUUUUUGCAUCUCAGUAAAGGAAGCCUUUAUGCUGAGCUCUCACUUUAGUGUAGUUAAAAGCCAGAGGCCACAACAUCCCAGAGUCUCAUAAUUUUGCUUUCCAAUGUGGAAGAGUCACUGUUGAAAAAAAGGAAAAGGAGUCUUGUUUGGACUAAUUCAUUGUUAUUUAGGCUAAUAUAAUCUAUUAAGGAUAUUACAGUAUUGACAUAUAUAAUAGUUACUCUCUCAAAUAUAAUGAAUAUUUUCUAUUUCUGUUUAUCCUUAAAUUCUCAGUAAUACUCAACACUAUUAAUUUUAUCAACCUAACCCUCUUUGAAACAUAUUGUUAUUCUAUAUUAUUAUACGUCCUCUUAAAUCUCUGCCUUUUCUUUCCUGUCUCAUUUAUAGACCCAUCAUAAUAAAUAUGGCUACUAGGCCAGAUACAGAGGCUCACGCCUGUAAUCCCAGCACUUUGGGAGGCUGAGGUGGGCGGAUCACAAGGUCAGGAGUUCGAGACCAGCCUGGCCAACAUGGUGAAACCCUGUCUCUACUAAAAAUACAAAAAAUUAGCCGGGUGUGGUGGCGUGUGCCUGUAAUACCAGCUACUUGAGAGGCUGAGAAAAUGGCUAGAAAAAGGGAAUCUAAGAUAGUGGAGCCAUGUAAUGAGAGGAGCCAGAUACCUGUGUCAACACUUGGAGACAAGCUACUGAGGAAUGCAUACGAAUAAACAACAUUGGACUUUACAUGAAGAAGAAAUAAACUUUUCAUUAUUUUGUAUUGUUUUUGUUAUAGAGGCUAGGGUUGAUUACCAUGACAAUGUUUAAACAUAGGUAAUCUCAAAAAUACAAAUUAAUAUAAAAAGCCUUUGUAGGGAAAUGGAUGGAGCUGGAGACCAUUAUCCUUAGCAAACUGAGGCAGGAAGAGAAAACCAAAUACCACAUGUUCUCACUUAUAAGUGAGAGCUAAAUGAUGAGAACACCUGGACACAUAGAGGGAAACAACACACACUGUGGCCUAUCAGAGGGUGGAGGGUGGGAGGAGGGAGAGGGUCAAGAAAAAUAACUAAUGUAUACUAGGCUUAAUACCUGGGUGAUGAAAUAAUCUGUACAACAAACCCCCAUGAUGCAUGUUUACCUGUGUAACAAACCUGCACAUGUACUUCUGAAUUUAAAAACAUCAAUUUGCAUGAUGAUAUUAUAUAUAAAAUAUUUAAAACAAAAAAUAAUGUUACAUGGUAUUUAUUUUGUAUACACAUGUAAAAAUAUAUAAGUGUGCAUGAAAUGAACUACCAAAUUCAAUAUGGUGUUUACUUUCAAAUGAAGGACAGUGUGGUGGAUACUCAGGAAGCUUUAAUUGUAUCUGUAAUGUUUUAUUAAUUUAUUUUUAAAUUCUGAAUCAAUUUUGACAAAUGUUAGAAUUUAAUAGCACUCAGUGUGGAGUACCUAGAUGUUUAUUAUAUCAUAUUCUACUGUGGGAUUUUUUUUCCUGUAUUUGGAAAUAUUUUUUAAAAUGGGCUUUUAAUGAUUGGGAAGAAUUUUUAUAGAAGCCUAUACAGCAUAUAUAGUUGGUGGGAAGAUUUAUACUCAUUCAUCAAACAUAAAAUUAGAUUUAGGUACAAAUCUUAAAGCUUGAAAAGGGGAAGUUUUUCCCCUUUAUUAAGAAGUGCAUUUUACUCAGAG